CCCUUAGAUGUUCUGGGCUGCACGCGCGCUACACUGAUGCACUCAACGAGUUUACGAGCUUGUCCGAGAGGAUUGGCUAAUCUUUUUAAAAUGCAUCGUGAUGGGGAUAGAUUAUUGCAAUUAUUAAUCUUCAACGAGGAAUUCCUAGUAAGCGCGAGUCAUCAGCUCGUGCUGAUUACGUCCCUGCCCUUUGUACACACCGCCCGUCGCUCCUACCGAUUGAAUGGUCCGGUGAAAUGUUCGGACCGCGACAAGGCGGACGGUUCGCUGUCAGCUUUGCUGCGGGAAGUUCAUUAAACCUUAUCAUUUAGAGGAAGGAGAAGUCGUAACA
rnacentral:rRNA from 1 species